AUUGAACGCUGGCGGCGUGCUUAACACAUGCAAGUCGAUCGGUAACGCGGGGGCAACCCUGGCGACGAGAGGCGGACGGGUGAGGAACGCUUGGGAAUCUGCCCUUCAGCGGGGGACAACACGGGGAAACUCGUGCUAAUACCGCAUACGCUCCACGGAGGAAAGCCGGGGACCGCAAGGCCUGGCACUGAAGGAUGAGCCCAAGCCGGAUUAGCUAGUUGGCGGGGUAACGGCCCACCAAGGCGACGAUCGGUAGCUGGUCUGAGAGGGCGAGAAGCCACACUGGGACUGAGACACGGCCCAGACUCCUACGGGAGGCAGCAGUGGGGAAUAUUGGACAAUGGGCGAAAGCCUGAUCCAGCGACGCCGCGUGGGUGAAGAAGGCCUGCGGGUUGUAAAGCCCUUUCGGUAGGGACGAAAGCUUCCGACCUAACACGUCGGGAGGUUGACUUAACCUACAAAAGAAGCACCGGCUAACUCUGUGCCAGCAGCCGCCGUAAAAC
rnacentral:rRNA from 1 species